rnacentral:rRNA from 1 species
AUGAUUGUUGUGGCUACUAUGACACUACACAACUACGUCCACCUCCAUGACAAGGAGGAUCUCCACUUUAUUCGGUGUGAGAGGGAUCCAGAUUAUGUUCCAACAGAGAGAUACAAGAAGUAAGUUAUUCCUACAAAUGCAUCAGAUGCUUCAACAUCAGCGGAAAGUGCUCCUAACAUGGAUUUGUUUAGGCAUGAACUAGCUACUGCCAUUGGUCUUAGUUGGUGA